AUUAUCUCAUUAAACCUCUACGUUUUGUCAUAAUCGGAGGAUCUACUCUCUUACGAGAGGCUCUAGUUUCAAGAGCGUUUUAUGUGCGAUCAUGCACCAGAAUCUUCUGGUACCAGGGCGUCUAUGCCAAGAUCGGAGGCCAGCUUUUUCCAACUGCAAGCUGGCACGCAAAAGUGAAAAUGACCACCUGUCAUUAUUGUCCAGACCCACCUUGGACUAUUGAAACUUGGCGUGCCAGGUAAAGU